rnacentral:tRNA from 1 species
GGGGUUGUGGCUCAGUGCUAGAGUGCUUGCCUAGCACGCGUGAGGCACUGAGUUCGAUCCUCAACACCA